AUCGCUUCUCGGCCUUUUGGCUAAGAUCAAGUGUAGAUGGAAUUUCUAUUGUUUUGAUUUGCAUUUGUAUAAUGGCCAAAGAUACUGAAUGCUUUUUCAUAAAUUUAUUGGCCAUUUGUACUUUUUCCUCUGAGAAGCAUCUAUUCAUU
ensembl:snRNA U2 U2 spliceosomal RNA